rnacentral:lncRNA from 10 species
UGUCACCCAGGCUGGAGUGCAGUGGUCCGAGAUCGUGCCACUGUACUCUAGCCUGGGGACAGAGCAAGACUCUGUCUCAAAAAAAAAAAGAUUUCUUCCAACUUGUUCCCAGAACUCUAGGUCUAGUGUGCCUUCUUCUGGGAACCGUGGGUUAUGGAAAACAACAGUUUGCAUUAGGUCCCUUAACUGAGCCUCCGAAACGGAGGCUGUGCUAGCUUCAAGCAGCUGUUUCAAUACUUUUAUGUACUGUUGCUGUUGAGCUGAUAACUCAAGUCCCAUUGUUACGGGUGGGCCUUUGUUCUUAGAGCUCCCAAGAUGGGGCAGGCGGCUCCCAAGAUGGCGGCAAGCCUUUUUUUCUCUGACC